GGGUUGUGAGGUUAAGCGACUAAGCGUACACGGUGGAUGCCCUGGCAGUCAGAGGCGAUGAAGGACGUGCUAAUCUGCGAUAAGCGUCGGUAAGGUGAUAUGAACCGUUAUAACCGGCGAUUUCCGAAUGGGGAAACCCAGUGUGAUUCGUCACACUAUCAUUAACUGAAUCCAUAGGUUAAUGAGGCGAACCGGGGGAACUGAAACAUCUAAGUACCCCGAGGAAAAGAAAUCAACCGAGAUUCCCCCAGUAGCGGCGAGCGAACGGGGAGCAGCCCAGAGCCUGAAUCAGUGUGUGUGUUAGUGGAAGCGUCUGGAAAGGCGUGCGAUACAGGGUGACAGCCCCGUACACAAAAAUGCACAUGCUGUGAGCUCGAUGAGUAGGGCGGGACACGUGGUAUCCUGUCUGAAUAUGGGGGGACCAUCCUCCAAGGCUAAAUACUCCUGACUGACCGAUAGUGAACCAGUACCGUGAGGGAAAGGCGAAAAGAACCCCGGCGAGGGGAGUGAAAAAGAACCUGAAACCGUGUACGUACAAGCAGUGGGAGCACGCUUAGGCGUGUGACUGCGUACCUUUUGUAUAAUGGGUCAGCGACUUAUAUUCUGUAGCAAGGUUAACCGAAUAGGGGAGCCGAAGGGAAACCGAGUCUUAACUGGGCGUUAAGUUGCAGGGUAUAGACCCGAAACCCGGUGAUCUAGCCAUGGGCAGGUUGAAGGUUGGGUAACACUAACUGGAGGACCGAACCGACUAAUGUUGAAAAAUUAGCGGAUGACUUGUGGCUGGGGGUGAAAGGCCAAUCAAACCGGGAGAUAGCUGGUUCUCCCCGAAAGCUAUUUAGGUAGCGCCUCGUGAAUUCAUCUCCGGGGGUAGAGCACUGUUUCGGCAAGGGGGUCAUCCCGACUUACCAACCCGAUGCAAACUGCGAAUACCGGAGAAUGUUAUCACGGGAGACACACGGCGGGUGCUAACGUCCGUCGUGAAGAGGGAAACAACCCAGACCGCCAGCUAAGGUCCCAAAGUCAUGGUUAAGUGGGAAACGAUGUGGGAAGGCCCAGACAGCCAGGAUGUUGGCUUAGAAGCAGCCAUCAUUUAAAGAAAGCGUAAUAGCUCACUGGUCGAGUCGGCCUGCGCGGAAGAUGUAACGGGGCUAAACCAUGCACCGAAGCUGCGGCAGCGACGCUUAUGCGUUGUUGGGUAGGGGAGCGUUCUGUAAGCCUGCGAAGGUGUGCUGUGAGGCAUGCUGGAGGUAUCAGAAGUGCGAAUGCUGACAUAAGUAACGAUAAAGCGGGUGAAAAGCCCGCUCGCCGGAAGACCAAGGGUUCCUGUCCAACGUUAAUCGGGGCAGGGUGAGUCGACCCCUAAGGCGAGGCCGAAAGGCGUAGUCGAUGGGAAACAGGUUAAUAUUCCUGUACUUGGUGUUACUGCGAAGGGGGGACGGAGAAGGCUAUGUUGGCCGGGCGACGGUUGUCCCGGUUUAAGCGUGUAGGCUGGUUUUCCAGGCAAAUCCGGAAAACUAAGGCUGAGGCGUGAUGACGAGGCACUACGGUGCUGAAGCAACAAAUGCCCUGCUUCCAGGAAAAGCCUCUAAGCAUCAGGUAACAUCAAAUCGUACCCCAAACCGACACAGGUGGUCAGGUAGAGAAUACCAAGGCGCUUGAGAGAACUCGGGUGAAGGAACUAGGCAAAAUGGUGCCGUAACUUCGGGAGAAGGCACGCUGAUAUGUAGGUGAAGCGACUUGCUCGUGGAGCUGAAAUCAGUCGAAGAUACCAGCUGGCUGCAACUGUUUAUUAAAAACACAGCACUGUGCAAACACGAAAGUGGACGUAUACGGUGUGACGCCUGCCCGGUGCCGGAAGGUUAAUUGAUGGGGUCAGCGCAAGCGAAGCUCUUGAUCGAAGCCCCGGUAAACGGCGGCCGUAACUAUAACGGUCCUAAGGUAGCGAAAUUCCUUGUCGGGUAAGUUCCGACCUGCACGAAUGGCGUAAUGAUGGCCAGGCUGUCUCCACCCGAGACUCAGUGAAAUUGAACUCGCUGUGAAGAUGCAGUGUACCCGCGGCAAGACGGAAAGACCCCGUGAACCUUUACUAUAGCUUGACACUGAACAUUGAGCCUUGAUGUGUAGGAUAGGUGGGAGGCUUUGAAGUGUGGACGCCAGUCUGCAUGGAGCCGACCUUGAAAUACCACCCUUUAAUGUUUGAUGUUCUAACGUUGACCCGUGAUCCGGGUUGCGGACAGUGUCUGGUGGGUAGUUUGACUGGGGCGGUCUCCUCCUAAAGAGUAACGGAGGAGCACGAAGGUUGGCUAAUCCUGGUCGGACAUCAGGAGGUUAGUGCAAUGGCAUAAGCCAGCUUGACUGCGAGCGUGACGGCGCGAGCAGGUGCGAAAGCAGGUCAUAGUGAUCCGGUGGUUCUGAAUGGAAGGGCCAUCGCUCAACGGAUAAAAGGUACUCCGGGGAUAACAGGCUGAUACCGCCCAAGAGUUCAUAUCGACGGCGGUGUUUGGCACCUCGAUGUCGGCUCAUCACAUCCUGGGGCUGAAGUAGGUCCCAAGGGUAUGGCUGUUCGCCAUUUAAAGUGGUACGCGAGCUGGGUUUAGAACGUCGUGAGACAGUUCGGUCCCUAUCUGCCGUGGGCGCUGGAGAACUGAGGGGGGCUGCUCCUAGUACGAGAGGACCGGAGUGGACGCAUCACUGGUGUUCGGGUUGUCAUGCCAAUGGCACUGCCCGGUAGCUAAAUGCGGAAGAGAUAAGUGCUGAAAGCAUCUAAGCACGAAACUUGCCCCGAGAUGAGUUCUCCCUGACUCCUUGAGAGUCCUGAAGGAACGUUGAAGACGACGACGUUGAUAGGCCGGGUGUGUAAGCGCAGCGAUGCGUUGAGCUAACCGGUACUAAUGAACCGUGAGGCUUAACCUUACAACGCCGAAGGUGUUU
rnacentral:rRNA from 1 species